ensembl:snRNA U6 U6 spliceosomal RNA
GUGCUCAUUUCAGUAGUGCAUGUGCUGAUAUUGGAGCAAUAUAGAGAGUACCAUGUCCCCUUCACAAUAAUGAUAUGCAAAUUCAUGAAGCAUUCCACAUUUUU